GCAUUGGGGGCUGCUAUACAUGCAAGUCGAGCGAAUGAUGAGGAGCUUGCUCCUCUGAUUUAGCGGCGGACGGGUGAGUAACACGUGGGUAAUCUGCCUGUAAGACGGGGAUAACUCCGGGAAACCGGGGCUAAUACCGGAUAAUAAAAAGAAACGCAUGUUUCUUUUUUGAAAGUCGGCCUCUCGCUGACACUUACAAAUGAGCCCGCGGCGCAUUACCUAGUUGGUGAGGUAACGGUUCACCAAGGCAACAAUGCGUACCCAACCUGAAAGGGUGAUCGGCCACACUGGGACUGAAACACGGCCCAAACUCCUACGGGAGGCAGCAUUAGGGAAUCUUCGGCAAUGGGCAAAAGCCUGACCGAGCAACGCCGCGUGAGCGAUGAAGGCCUUCGGGUCGUAAAGUUCUGUGGUUAGAAAAAAAACAAGUACAAAAGUACUUGCUCUUACUUUGGACGGUACCUAACCAGAAAAGCCACGGCUUAACUAACGGUGGCCAGCCAGCCGCGGUUAUAUACCGUUAAGGUUGGCCAGGCGUUAAUCCGGGAAUUAUUGGGGCCGUUAAAGCGCGCGCGCAGGCCGGUCUCUCUUAAGUCCUGAUGGUGAAAGGCCCCACGGCUCAACCGGUGCAGGGUUCAUUGGAAAACCUGGGAAGACUGGAUGCAGGAAGAGAAAAGUGGAAUUCCCACGUGUACGGUGAAAUGCUAAAGAUUGUGGAGGAACCCAUGGCUAGGCGGCUUUUGCCUGUACUGACGCUAGGCCGAAGCGUGGGGGAGCAACGAUAGAAUCCUGUAGUCCACGUCGUACCGAAUGAGUGCUAAGCUUGGGAGGUUCCACCCUCAAGCUGAGUACCAUAGCCAUCGCUGUAUCACGCAGUGAUUAGGAUUAUCGGCUGCA
rnacentral:rRNA from 1 species